UUUUUUUUUAAGCAGUGUCCAAGUGCUUUUUAUGCCACCGACUUGCCGAAGCCAUCUUUGUUUGACAUGCUCUGUGUGUUAUAGUGGCCCAAUUUUGUAAUAUUCUUCUUUUCCAAUUCAUCAUUUCUGCCGUCCAAUUCAUCAUUUCUGCCCUUUGUCACCAGCUCAGUAUGACAGAGCACAAAAAGAAAAGGAGUAUGAAUAGAAUCAAAAGAAAAGGACUGUUACAAAAUAUGGCACCUGAUCGCUGUACCGUUUCUGCGAGUGGUUUGUCGUCUUGCCACAUACAUCUCAGCGUCAAUGAAAAGGGAGUCCUGAAAAGUGUCUCAAGCUAGUUAACAUUUGACAUGGCACCAUGAUGGCUGGUUCUUUGAAGUUCAGCCUCAAGGUACAUGGUUGUGUGACUGGGUUUGUGUUUGCUGAUCGUUGCAUUUUUUUUUUAAAAAUGAAUCUCACGCCACACAAGCUGCCGAGGGAAACAUAUUACUACAAACCCUUUGUGUUCUUUUCUAGAAGAUGUUUUCUUGUCGCAAAAGAGUGAGGAGCGUUGAAGUUGAUUUUUCGGGCAUGCUCGUAAAGAUAGACAAUGCCUACGGGUACUAAUAUACCUGUGGUUCUUGCUGUCACUGAAUCACUGGCAGUCAUGUUGGUAUGGUGCCUACAGGAAUUGCAGUGUAACCAGGCAUUUGUGCACUGUAAAUGUGAGAGUAUCUUUUUAUUUUAGCGCCUGUUACAGUUGAGCAUUUCUAUAUUGAACUUUAGCACUUGGAAUUGCCUAUAUUGGACACUGGAUAUGAUGCCCGAAAAAAAAAAAAAAAGACGAAAUUGCACGUAAGAGCUCAGGAGCAGUGUAUGUCAGGAUUAAACUUCGCAGGUGAGACAACUUCAUUCAUUGAAAACUGUCUGGCGCACCGUGCCUCUCAGAGUGUGCUCUCCUUCAGCAUUUCACUUAUGUUUGUGAUGCCUCAUUUGUCCACUAUCACACACACAUACUUCUUUCUCCAUGGCAUUCUGCUGCUGAUGUAAGUGGGCAUGCAGGCCUAGUAUUGCUACAAAGGGCCUAAGAUUACUGCUGAUGUGCCCUAAUUUAAUUAGCGGUGAUGUCUUUAUUUCGAGUAAAGUGCUUUUGGAGCUAGUAUUGUGCCUUGCAAGGCCUGGCUGCAUGAUUUCAUGCUUCCUUUUGGUUCUGCUUUUGCUGUUUCUUUUCUUUUUUUCCUCCUAGCCUGAAGUGCUUAGUUUUCAUCUGGGUGACCUCUCCGACGAGUGGCGUCCAUUAGGAUACUUUCGGGUGGCCAUCUCUGCUGAAUGGUGCUCGUGGCACUACUUCCUGUGAAGGCAGCAACCUUCAACAUGCAGCCUAUGGCUGCCUGGCAGAUGUAAUCUUUGUCAAAAGUAUACGUGCUGUACACCGUGUUUUCCUCACAUAUUUUGGCUGUGUGGGGCAGUUUUUGUGGCAUUCCUAAGAGACACUCCAGAGCUCUGAAUGGUAAGCAAGAAAUCUCUUUUUGCUUCCCAGGAGACUGACACCUUUAGCAUACCACAGGAACUCCUUUAAGCAGCCCGUAGUCGCCGUGGCGGUCACAGGAAACGUAGCCCACAACUUCUGACAAAGGCUGUUCAUUGGCAUGUCACACGCAGCCGUCAGAUCGCACUUUCCAGAGUGCAUCCUGUGUCCAUUACAACUUUACAGCAGCAUGCUUUCAUGUAUUGAGUCUCUGGUAUAUACGUCAAAUAAUUUGUAAUCUCCUUCAGGUUCAGUAUAUUUGUGCUCGAAUGUAGGCAUUGACAAAAUUAAUGAAAUCUCAAGUAGAAAACUUGCAGCUGCAAUUUUUUAUGAAUCUCAUCCCAGCGACAUCUCUUGGAGUAUUUUAUCUCACUGUUUCUUGUUAUUGCAGCUUCCAAUUUUAGCAAUGGUGUAUGUCCCUUAUCUACAGGCAGUGUCUCGAAGACAGGUUGGCAGCAGCGUAUUUUGAAUCUCAUUUCAAGAUAUAAGCAGGUUGUGACACGUCCGCAAGAAUUUUCGUGGUUUUAGUUGUACAUUUUGUGCAGGUGCAAUUUUGAAACCAUUCGCCCAAAACGGAUUCAGGUUUUUGCCGAUGGUGUUCAGUCUCGCACAUUUUAGAGUUUACCCCGCAGAUGCAUCUGUACCACUUAUAUUAAGUUAUUUGCCGAGUCAAAGACUCCACAGAGAGAGAGAGAGCUGGACAGGUAAUCAAGAUAAGUACAUAACCUAGGUCCCUCGAUAGAUUCCUUUUGUUGUUGCAUCAUGGCAUUGUUACGUUGGCAAGGCAGGUAACGAGCCCACUCGCAUUCUUGCUCCAACGCUGGCGAUGUGUUUCAUAAUGCAUGUCUUGCCAGUUUUUCUCAUGCAGUCCUGCUUUCUCACAGCCGUUGUACAGACCCGUGAUGUUGGAUUCACAAAGCUUGCUCAGCCACACGUCAGCCUGGCAUUGGCCCUACUUUCUUUAUUAGUGGGGCAUUGCCUACAUGCAGGACCUUCAGGUAGCUAACGAUUAGCCUGUGGCAAAAGAGCUUGUGAUAAUUCAGAUCUGAAGUUUUGUGAUGAAGCCAGGUGGUUUAAAUCUCACAGGCCGGCUCUUCUUUACAGCAAUUUUAGGCUGCCGUCGCCUCCUAGUAUUGCAAGCAGCGUGUCAUUGUUUUACAUGGCGUGCUUUUAGUUCUGUACACUUUUUAUCGCUGCACUUUGUCUCGCGUAUGUAGGGCCUUUUUUGUUUUAUUUCUUGCAAUGCCGACGUGCUCGAGAAUUGUAUUAUUUGCCCGUCUUUCGUAGAAACAAGAAACCGCUCAUUUCUGCUAGGGGAUUGCGCCCUCAAGGUUAUGGCACGUAGAUGGGCCUCGUAAAGUAUGUGUCAGGUGUUUUGACAUCAAUGUGCAGGAUUUUAGUUGUACUUUGAUGCUCGAGGUUGUUGGAAGUGUUCAGUUUAUGUCUUGUAGGAUACAUAUUGAAAAGGGUCUAGUGGUUGCGGAUGUGAGUAAUGUUUGUGUGGUGCGGUUUCCAUUGUAAACUUCCGUCCUGGUUUCACUAAACCACUGUAUAUGUAGCUUCUGGAGAUCAAACCUCGGUUCUCACUUUUUUUUUCCUUCUUUAUGUCAGUUGUCCAGUACUGUGUUUUACGAUUAUACAUGUGUCAUAACUGCUGCACGAAGCCAGCCUCAAAGGCAUUACGCAUUGUUUGUUCGUCAGGCACACUAUAGUCUAAACCUGUGAACCAAUUAUUCAAGAUAUCACCUUGAUUAGUAAAAGGCAGGCUAUUUUACGUGAAUUGAUCACGUAAAUCGAUCUUGUUGCCAAGAUAGAAAAGAAAAAAACACCAGUAGGCUGUUAUUUGAAUUAGCCUAACGAGAAAUGCUUUAUGGAAACAUUAAAGUGAUUGUUUCAGCACACUUGUGACAAAUAGAAAAUUUUGUCGUCAGCUUGGUUAAAAAGAAAACGUGGCAAUAUUUUUGUUUGUCAUUGUCAGCAAAAAUACUUCUCAUUUAUCUGAUAGUUGACUGGCAAGGGCGCUUUUAACAGUCCGUAUGGCCACAAAGCAAAGGAAGAAAUUUUGUCCUUGCAGCAUUUGGUGGGCUUGUCACACAACGUAUAAAAAAAGUCAUUUUAAGCAAAUGAAUUAUCUUGUACCUCUAAUGAAAGUUAGGAACAUUAAAGCUUCAAGCUAUGUUGAUUGCAUCAAUGGCUUAUUGCCUGGUCAUAACAGUAGCUACUCUUCCUGGCUACCGUAAUUGGCUCAACUACGUUUGUGCCCAAAGCGGGUUGUGUAAUAUGACUUUCAGUUUCAGUUAGUGUGAUGGGGAUAUGACAUUUUGCCAUCUGUGUAGUGUACCCGCCUGCCCAUGGUGGGACGCAACACAAGGUACCUGUUGAUUCACUGCCACUAAGUGACUUUUGUCAUUCAACUGCGUAACUGCCUUGCCUUUAGAAGUGUGCGAGAAGGUCUUAAGUGUGUCUGGAUCUAAACUUACAUUCAUUCCUGUAUUCCGAUGCUUUUGAUGUGGAAUUUGCCAUUGUAUCAUGUUCAUUUCUUUGCAUCUCUUAUGUGUCAUUGGUUUAUGUCUUUUGUACUGAUGUUGCUUUGUGCCUGACAUGCUGAAAGGGUUGACAUAGUUUUUACGAUGCACUGAGCUGUCUCUUGAUGUCGUAGGGAUACUAUCAUAAUGGGGGAUGUUGAGUUGUAGCUUUUAAUUAGUUCUGCUAUUUUGAGCCUAGUGUAACUGCCUAAAGUGUUGCAGCAUCUUUCAUGAUUUCUUCAGGCGAGUGACUGUGCACUGUGGCAAACUGUCAUUGUGGACGGUCAUGACAUUCUUGUAAAUGGUGUGGUAAUACAGUUACUAGAAAUUCAAAUGGGUCAAAAUGAAUUCAGGGCCCAGGUGUCGUUCUCAUACAUUGAAUCCCAGAAACCAAUCCUACCUCCAUAAUGAAUUACUCUAGCAGCAAAUUGGAGACUUGCAGUUUGAUCACACUUAUGUAAAUGCAGCUGUCAUUUCAGUCUAUAAUCAAUGUACCGAAUGUGCAUAACUUUUUUUUUUUUCUUUUAUGGGAGAUUGCCACUUUGCCAAGCAAAGUUGCAUCUGAAUGAAUGUGCAAGUUGUCAUUUUUUUAUAACUUUUUGCUUGUUUGUAUUGUUGAGAAAAUAAGAUGAAGUGUGUUUCUUGUAAGUGCAUUGAAAACAUUCCAGAGACUAUGUGUGAUUUGUCCAAACAGGUUUCACAUGUACAUAUGGCAAUACCACUGUGUGGAGGAAUGCCUGAUAAUAAAAGACAACAUAUUUUUCAACACA
rnacentral:lncRNA from 1 species